rnacentral:lncRNA from 10 species
GAGCAGGGGAGAUGGGGGUGGCCUCCAAAGUUGCUGUCAGCAUGCCCUUGGCUCAGGCUUUGAAGUAUGUUUCCUGGUGGGGCUCCAGGUGCACAGGUGCACGCACCUAGCCAGCCACUGAAAGGAGCGAGACCCCAGGGCCAUGGUCGGUGCUGAUAGGUGCACCUCUGAGUGGCUGUGGCUUCUGUUUUGACUGGAUGGUCAAAACUGGGGUGUCUUUAAUCUGCCUGGCAGCCUCCCAGGUACCCUGAGGGUUCCAGAAGUUGGUGGGGCCCACCAUGUGGGCAGGGCUGCGAGAGCCCCCGAGAUCACCCUGAAGUGCAGGGACAGAUCCGGGCACCUGGGGAAGUGGAGACAGGUGGAGACUUUGCGGUGACUUGCUCCCAAGUGGGACACUUUCUCCCGUCCAUGGGAAGCGAGGGAGAUUUGCAGGCCCAGAGCCUCUUCCUUGGCUUUUUCCUCCAGCCCCACCUCUUGGCUUCUCUGCAACUCCGCAUUACAUCUCUUUAGGCCCCAAACAGCCACCCAGGCCCCAAGAAGCCUGUCAAACCCCAGAUGUUUGCCGACACCGUGAGAGGCCCCGGGUGUUCUAGAACACUUGGAGGCCUGGAAGCACUGUGUGGAAGGAACACCUGGCGGACAGGCUGCUGAAUGGCUUUCUGUAGAUGCUGGACAAUGGACAGAACAGCCUCCUUCAGGUGACAGAGCCACAGGGGCCUCAGAAGGAGGGGUGACUCUCUCCACCUCUGUCCCACUCUUCCCCAGGCACCCAGGCUCUGCCUCCUGGUGUCACAAAGUCCCACCAAGACUCAUGCAUUGGGCCAGGCGCGGUGGCUCAUGCCUGUAAUCCCAGCACUUUGGGAGGCUGAGGCAGGUGGAUCACUUGAAGCCAGGAGUUCAAGACCAGCCUGGCCAACAUGAUGAAAUCCCGUCUCUACUAAAAACACAAAAAUUAGCUGGGCAUGAUUGCAUGUGCCUGUAAUCCCAGCUACUUGGGAGGCGGAGGCAAGAAAAUUGUUUGAACCCGGGAGGCAGAGCUUG